CGGAGCAUGUGGUUUAAUUCGAAGCAACGCGAAGAACCUUACCAGGGCUUGACAUGCCGCUGACCGGUGCAGAGAUGCAUCUUUAUCCUUCGGGGUACAGCGGACACAGGUGGUGCAUGGUUGUCGUCAGCUCGUGUCGUGAGAUGUUGGGUUAAGUCCCGCAACGAGCGCAACCCUUGUCUUUAGUUGCCAUCAUUAAGUUGGGCACUCUAAAGAGACUGCCGAUGACAAAUCGGAGGAAGGUGGGGAUGACGUCAAAUCAUCAUGCCCUUUAUGUCCUGGGCUACACACGUGCUACAAUGGUCGGUACAACGAGAAGCAAGCCAGCGAUGGCAAGCAAAUCUCUAAAAGCCGAUCCCAGUUCGGAUUGCAGGCUGCAACUCGCCUGCAUGAAGUCGGAGUUGCUAGUAAUCGCGGAUCAGAAUGCCGCGGUGAAUGCGUUCCCGGGUCUU
rnacentral:rRNA from 2 species